rnacentral:lncRNA from 1 species
CUCAGACCGCAGCGUCGGCCGAGAGGACGCCGGGAUACUGGCCAGCUCCAAGUCGAAAGGAAGCGACGCAUGAGUUGUUUGGUGCGAAUUUUAAACGGAAGAACGCAGAAGAAUUCUCUUUAUGUUACCUUUAUUUAGCAACAAAUCAACUUGACUCAACUGAUACUUACUGAGUGCCUUUAAAGUUAGAAUGAAAUAUGAGCAAUGGCAUACAACUACAAACUG